rnacentral:rRNA from 1 species
CCUACGGGGGGCAGCAGUGGGGAAUAUUGGACAAUGGGCGAAAGCCUGAUCCAGCCAUGCCGCGUGUGUGAAGAAGGCCUUCGGGUUGUAAAGCACUUUCAGUGGGGAAGAAAGCCUUGGGGCUAAUACCCUCGAGGAAGGACAUCACCCACAGAAGAAGCACCGGCUAACUCCGUGCCAGCAGCCGCGGUAAUACGGAGGGUGCGAGCGUUAAUCGGAAUUACUGGCGUAAAGCGCGCGUAGGCGGUCUGAUAAGCCGGUUGUGAAAGCCCCGGGCUCAACCUGGGAACGGCAUCCGGAACUGUCAGGCUAGAGUGCAGGAGAGGAAGGUAGAAUUCCCGGUGUAGCGGUGAAAUGCGUAGAGAUCGGGAGGAAUACCAGUGGCGAAGGCGGUCUUCUGGACUGACACUGACGCUGAGGUGCGAAAGCGUGGGUAGCAAACAGGAUUAGAUACCCUAGUAGUC